rnacentral:rRNA from 1 species
GACGAACGCUGGCGGCGUGCUUAACACAUGCAAGUCGAACGGAAAGGCCCUGCUUUUGUGGGGUGCUCGAGUGGCGAACGGGUGAGUAACACGUGAGUAACCUGCCCUUGACUUUGGGAUAACUUCAGGAAACUGGGGCUAAUACCGGAUAGGAUCUCCUGCUGCAUGGUGGGGGUUGGUAAGUUUCGGCGGUUGGGGAUGGACUCGCUGCUUAUUAGCUUGUUGGUGGGGUAGUGGCUUACCAAGGCUUUGACGGGUAGCCGGCCUGAGAGGGUGACCGGCCACAUUGGGCCUGAGAUACGGCCCAGACUACUACGGGACGCAGCAGUGGGGAAUAUUGCACAAUGGGCGGAAGCCUGAUGCAGCAACGCCGCGUGCGGGAUGACGGCCUUCGGGUUGUAAACCGCUUUCGCCUGUGACGAAGCGUGAGUGACGGUAAUGGGUAAAGAAGCACCGGCUAACUACGUG